rnacentral:rRNA from 1 species
GAUUAUUAGAUACCCGGGUAGUCCACGCCGUAAACGUUGGGAACUAGAUGUAGGGUCCAUUCCACGGAUUCUGUGUCGCAGCUAACGCAUUAAGUUCCCCGCCUGGGGAGUACGGCCGCAAGGCUAAAACUCAAAGGAAUUGACGGGGGCCCGCACAAGCGGCGGAGCAUGCGGAUUAAUUCGAUGCAACGCGAAGAACCUUACCAAGGCUUGACAUAUGCCGGAAAAGCGUAGAAAUACGCUCCCCGCAAGGUCGGUAUACAGGUGGUGCAUGGUUGUCGUCAGCUCGUGUCGUGAGAUGUUGGGUUAAGUCCCGCAACGAGCGCAACCCUCGUCCUAUGUUGCCAGCACGUAAUGGUGGGAACUCAUGGGAGACUGCCGGGGUCAACUCGGAGGAAGGUGGGGAUGACGUCAAAUCAUCAUGCCCCUUAUGUCUUGGGCUUCACGCAUGCUACAAUGGCCGAUACAGAGGGCUGCAAUACCGCAAGGUGGAGCGAAUCCCAAAAAGUCGGUCUCAGUUCGGAUUGAGGUCUGCAACUCGACCUCAUGAAGUCGGAGUCGCUAGUAAUCGCAGAUCAGCAACGCUGCGGUGAAUACGUUCCCGGGCCUUGUACACACCGCCCGUCAAGUCAUGAAAGUCGGUAACACCCGAAGCCAGUGGCCUAACCGCAAGGAA